GACGAACGCUGGCGGCGUGCUUAACACAUGCAAGUCGAACGGAAAGGCCCUGCUUUUGUGGGGUGCUCGAGUGGCGAACGGGUGAGUAACACGUGAGUAACCUGCCCUUGACUUUGGGAUAACUUCAGGAAACUGGGGCUAAUACCGGAUAGGAGCUCCUGCUGCAUGGUGGGGGUUGGAAAGUUUCGGCGGUUGGGGAUGGACUCGCGGCUUAUCAGCUUGUUGGUGGGGUAGUGGCUUACCAAGGCUUUGACGGGUAGCCGGCCUGAGAGGGUGACCGGCCACAUUGGGACUGAGAUACGGCCCAGACUCCUACGGGAGGCAGCAGUGGGGAAUAUUGCACAAUGGGCGGAAGCCUGAUGCAGCAACGCCGCGUGCGGGGUGACGGCCUUCGGGUUGUAAACCGCUUUCGCCUGUGACGAAGCGUGGGUGACGGUAAUGGGUAAAGAAGCACCGGCUAACUACGUG
rnacentral:rRNA from 1 species